rnacentral:rRNA from 1 species
AGCGAACGCUGGCGGCAGGCCUAACACAUGCAAGUCGAGCGCCCAGCAAUGGGAGCGGCAGACGGGUGAGUAACACGUGGGGAUGUGCCCAAAGGUACGGAAUAGCUCCGGGAAACUGGAAUUAAUACCGUAUGUGCCCUUCGGGGGAAAGAUUUAUCGCCUUUGGAUCAACCCGCGUCUGAUUAGCUAGUUGGUGAGGUAAAGGCUCACCAAGGCGACGAUCAGUAGCUGGUCUGAGAGGAUGAUCAGCCACACUGGGACUGAGACACGGCCCAGACUCCUACGGGAGGCAGCAGUGGGGAAUAUUGGACAAUGGGCGCAAGCCUGAUCCAGCCAUGCCGCGUGAGUGAUGAAGGCCUUAGGGUUGUAAAGCUCUUUCGCCGGUGAAGAUAAUGACGGUAACCGGAGAAGAAGCCCCGGCUAACUUCGUGCCAGCAGCCGCCGUAAGAC